rnacentral:rRNA from 1 species
CAGUACCGUGAGGGAAAGGUGAAAAGCACCCCGGAAGGGGAGUGAAAUAGAACCUGAAACCGUGUGCUUACAAGUAGUCAGAGCCCGUUAAUGGGUGAUGGCGUGCCUUUUGUAGAAUGAACCGGCGAGUUACGAUUUGAUGCAAGGUUAAGCAGUAAAUGUGGAGCCGUAGCGAAAGCGAGUCUGAAUAGGGCGUUUAGUAUUUGGUCGUAGACCCGAAACCAGGUGAUCUACCCUUGGUCAGGUUGAAGUUCAGGUAACACUGAAUGGAGGACCGAACCGACUUACGUUGAAAAGUGAGCGGAUGAACUGAGGGUAGCGGAGAAAUUCCAAUCGAACCUGGAGAUAGCUGGUUCUCUCCGAAAUAGCUUUAGGGCUAGCCUCAAGUGAUGAUUAUUGGAGGUAGAGCACUGUUUGGACGAGGGGCCCCUCUCGGGUUACCGAAUUCAGACAAACUCCGAAUGCCAAUUAAUUUAACUUGGGAGUCAGAACAUGGGUGAUAAGGUCCGUGUUCGAAAGGGAAACAGCCCAGACCACCAGCUAAGGUCCCAAAAUAUAUGUUAAGUGGAAAAGGAUGUGGCGUUGCCCAGACAACUAGGAUGUUGGCUUAGAAGCAGCCAUCAUUUAAAGAGUGCGUAAUAGCUCACUAGUCGAGUGACACUGCGCCGAAAAUGUACCGGGGCUAAACAUAUUACCGAAGCUGUGGAUUGUCCUUUGGACAAUGGUAGGAGAGCGUUCUAAGGGCGUUGAAGCAUGAUCGUAAGGACAUGUGGAGCGCUUAGAAGUGAGAAUGCCGGUGUGAGUAGCGAAAGACGGGUGAGAAUCCCGUCCACCGAUUGACUAAG